UUUGUAUUAGGAGCGGAAAUUGUUACCAUUUUCGGCUCAAAAAUGGUAACAAUUUCCGCACGUAAUACAAA
rnacentral:miRNA from 1 species